UACGUAGGUGGCAAGCGUUGUCCGGAUUUACUGGGCGUAAAGGGCGUGCAGGCGGUUUGUUUAGUCUAGGGUGAAAGCUCCCGGCUUAACUGGGAGAGGUCCUUGGAUACUGGCAAACUUGAGGGAGGCAGAGGAAAGUGGAAUUCCCGGUGUAGUGGUGAUAUGCGUAGAUAUCGAGAGGAACACCUGCGGCGAAGGCGGGUUGCUGGGCUGACACUGACGCUGAGGCGCGAAAGCUAGGGGAGCGAACGGG
rnacentral:rRNA from 1 species